GUGCUCGCUUCCGCAGCACAUAUACUAAAAUUGGAACGAUACAGAGAAUAUUAGCAUUCCCUGCGCAAGGAUGACCCCCAAAUAUUGAAGUGAUGGAUUUUGAA